rnacentral:rRNA from 1 species
UACGUAGGGGGCUAGCGUUGUCCGGAAUCAUUGGGCGUAAAGAGCGUGUAGGCGGUCCGGUAAGUCCGCUGUGAAAGUCGGGGGCUCAACCCUCGAAUGCCGGUGGAUACUGUCGGGCUAGAGUGCGGAAGAGGCGAGUGGAAUUCCUGGUGUAGCGGUGAAAUGCGUAGAUAUCGAGAGGAACACCUGCGGCGAAGGCGGGUUGCUGGGCCGACACUGACGCUGAAGCGCGAAAGCCAGGGGAGCGAACGGG